AAAAGGAGGAAGGUUGGCAACAGAUGUUAGCUCAGGGUGAAUCUUUCCCUGCCAAAAAAAUAGCAGUUCUGGUAGAGUGCUGGGGUCAGGAGCCGUAUUGACACAUGAUAGUUCAUUAGUGACUGGGGUUACAGAAUUAAACAGAGAGAGGAACAACUGCUUUCACAAGAAAUAAGGUAAUGAAGGGAAAGAUUAGUGUGUGAGUAUCCUUUGUAAACUGUGCAGUGCUGUAUAAAUAAAACUAUUUUCCUUGGCAGAACAGGUCAGGGAGAGACGAGAAGAGAUGGGGUCAAGUCCUUAAGUGGAGGUUGGCCUCGGCGAGUCUUCCGCAUGUGGCAGAAAUCAAGGCAGUGUGAUGGGGACGGGGCAAGACAGACCUGAAAGGACUGUUGAUCAUCUGUGUUUACAAGGACGCACAGCAGGCGACAUGGGGAGGACUCGGCUGUCCCCGACUCUUGUGUAAUGUCAGUGGGCAGCCCAGGCCUGGAAGAGGACAGCAGACCUUGACAUGGGCCAGUACAUAUGGUCACAGCUAAUCAAAGCCCAGAUCCACCUACCCUCAGAAGCUCUACGCGUCAAGGGGAAGAUCUCCAGAGCGGCCCGUGUGGGGCUUCCUGACACACUGGGAGACAAGAAAAAGGGUGCACGGCUCAGAAGCAGCUUGCUGUGGGAGAAGGAGCACAACCUCGUUGAUUUUGCAGAGGCCCAGGGCAGUGGGCCCCCUUCUCCUUCCUGUUCCUGCAUCAAGUGUGGUUUGCUGUCAAGUGGUAGCAGGUUCAGCCACAGUGAAGGGAGGUAGAGGGAGAGGCCCCUUGAGAGCGAGUGGCCCUGCGGUGGGAGCCCCGGAUCUGGAAGCAAACCAGAGGAAGAUUGGCCCAUCAGAACCAAUUGUUAUCAGCCUAGCACUGAGUUCAAAGGCUGCAUUUAGACUCUUCACCGCUCUGAAGGAGAUUCUGUCUC